GUUAAAAAGCUCGUAGUUGGAUUUCUGGAUGGAGCGACCGGUCGGGCAUUAAUUUGUCUGCACUGGAGUCGGUUCCGUCCAUCCUCUUGGAAAGUGCGUGGGGCAUUAAGUUGUCUGGCGUAUGAUCCAAGUCGUUUACUGUGAAAAAAUUAGAGUGUUUAAAGCAGGCCUUCGCCUUGAAUACAUUAGCAUGGAAUAAUAAGAUAGGACUUUGGUCUAUUUUGUUGGUUUGCAGACCGAAGUAAUGAUUAAUAGGGAUAGUUGGGGGUAUUUAUAUUCCGAUGUCAGAGGUGAAAUUCUUAGAUUUUCGGAAGAUAAACUUAUGCGAAAGCAUUUACCAAGGAUGUUUUCAUUAAUCAAGAACGAAAGUUAGGGGAUCGAAGAUGAUUAGAUACCAUCGUAGUCUUAACCAUAAACUAUGCCGACUCAGGAUUGGUGAACGUUGAUUUAAUGACUUCAUCAGCACUGUAUGAGAAAUCAAAGUCUUUGGGUUCCGGGGGGAGUAUGGUCGCAAGGCUGAAACUUAAAGGA
rnacentral:rRNA from 1 species